rnacentral:rRNA from 1 species
GAUGAACGCUGGCGGCGUGCUUAACACAUGCAAGUCGAACGAUGAAGCCCAGCUUGCUGGGUGGAUUAGUGGCGAACGGGUGAGUAACACGUGAGUAACCUGCCCUUAACUCUGGGAUAAGCCUGGGAAACUGGGUCUAAUACCGGAUAGGAGCGCCUACCGCAUGGUGGGUGUUGGAAAGAUUUAUCGGUUUUGGAUGGACUCGCGGCCUAUCAGCUUGUUGGUGAGGUAAUGGCUCACCAAGGCGACGACGGGUAGCCGGCCUGGGAAGGUGACCGGCCACAAGGGGACUGAGACACGGCCCAGACUCCAACGGGAGGCAGCGGUGGAGAAUAUGGCGCAAUGGGCGAAAGCCUGAUACAACGGCGCCGGGUGAGGGAAGACGGCCUACGGGUUGUAAACCUCUUUCAGUAGGGAAGAAGCGAAAGUGACGGUACCUGCAGAAGAAGCACCGGCUAACUACGUG